rnacentral:rRNA from 1 species
GGGGCCCGCACAAGCGGUGGAGCAUGUGGUUUAAUUCGAUGCAACGCGAAGAACCUUACCUGGGCUUGACAUCCCGGGAAUCCCCCUGGAAACAGGGGAGUGCCUUCGGGAACCCGGUGACAGGUGCUGCAUGGCUGUCGUCAGCUCGUGUCGUGAGAUGUUCGGUUAAGUCCGCUAACGAGCGCAACCCUCGCUGUGUGUUAUAUGUGUCACACGGGACUGCCGGUCUUAAGCCGGAGGAAGGUGGGGAUGAUGUCAAGUCAGCAUGGCCUUUAUAUCCUGGGCUACACACACGCUACAAUGGCCAACACAAUAGGUUGCUAAGCCGCGAGGUGGCGCCAAUCCAUAAAGUUGGUCUCAGUUCAGAUUGUAGGCUGCAACCCGCCUGCAUGAAGAUGGAGUUGCUAGUAACCGCAGGUCAGCUAUACUGCGGUGAAUACGUUCCCGGGUCUU